UACAGAGGGUGCAAACGUUGUUCGGAUUUACUGGGCGUAAAGCGUGUGUAGGCGGUUUGGCAAGUCGGAUGUGAAAGCCCCGGGCUCAACUCGGGAAGUGCACUCGAUACUGCUAGACUGGAGUGUGGGAGAGGUUGGUGGAAUUCUCGGUGUAGAGGUGAAAUUCGUAGAUAUCGAGAGGAACACCGGCGGCGAAGGCGGCCAACUGGACCAACACUGGCGCUGAGACACGAAAGCGUGGGGAGCAAACAGG
rnacentral:rRNA from 1 species